GUGCUCGCUUCGGCAGCACAUAUACUAAAAUUGGAACGAUAUAGAGAAGAUUCGCAUGGCCCCUGCGCAAGGAUGACACGCAAAUUCGUGAAGUGUAUAUUUUUAAU
rfam:Heterocephalus glaber contig193066, whole genome shotgun sequence.